AACUUACCUAUAACGUUGCUUCGGCGGGAACAGACGGCCCCGUAAAACGGGCCGCCCCCGCCAGAGGACCCCUAACUCUGUUUUUAUGAUGUUUUUCUGAGUGAACAAGCAAAUAAAUUAAAACUUUCAACAACGGAUCUCUUGGCUCUGGCAUCGAUGAAGAACGCAGCGAAAUGCGAUAAGUAAUGUGAAUUGCAGAAUUCAGUGAAUCAUCGAAUCUUUGAACGCACAUUGCGCCCGCCAGUAUUCUGGCGGGCAUGCCUGUUCGAGCGUCAUUACAACCCUCAGGCCUCCGGGCCUGGCGUUGGGGAUCGGCGGAGCCCCCCGUGGGCACACGCCGUCCCCCAAAUACAGUGGCGGUCCCGCCGCAGCUUCCAUUGCGUAGUAGCUAACACCUCGCAACUGGAGAGCGGCGCGGCCACGCCGUAAAACACCCAACUUCUGAA
rnacentral:misc_RNA from 1 species